AUUGAACGCUGGCGGCAGGCUUAAUACAUGCAAGUCGAGCGACAGGCGGACGGGUGAGUAAUGUCUGGGAAACUGCCUGAUGGACGGGGCUAACUACUGGAAACGGUAGCUAAUACCGCAUACCAUCAGAUGCGCCCAGAGGGGAUUAGCUAGUAGGUGGGGUAAUGGCUCACCUAGGCGACGAUCCCUAGCUGGUCUGAGAGGAGGACCAGCCACACUGGGACUGAGACACGGUCCAGACUCCUACGGGAGGCAGCAGUGGGGAAUAUUGCACAAUGGGCGCAAGCCUGAUGCAGCCAUGCCGCGUGAGUGAAGAAGGCCUUCGGGUUGUAAAACACUGUUAUCGAAGAAGCGGUAUUCGCAGAGGAAGCACCGGCUAACUCCGUGCCAGCAGCCGCGGUAAUUC
rnacentral:rRNA from 1 species